GGCUCUGUGGUGCAAUGGAUAGCAUGUUGGACUUCUAUAAUAGAAUGUCAUUCAAAGGUUUUGGGUUCAAAUCCCACCAGAGUCA
rnacentral:tRNA from 1 species